rnacentral:rRNA from 1 species
CUGAGAGGAUGACCAGCCACACUGGAACUGAGACACGGUCCAGACUCCUACGGGAGGCAGCAGUGGGGAAUAUUGCACAAUGGGCGCAAGCCUGAUGCAGCCAUGCCGCGUGUAUGAAGAAGGCCUUCGGGUUGUAAAGUACUUUCAGCGGGGAGGAAGGGAGUAAAGUUAAUACCUUUGCUCAUUGACGUUACCCGCAGAAGAAGCACCGGCUAACUCCGUGCCAGCAGCCGCGGUAAUACGGAGGGUGCAAGCGUUAAUCGGAAUUACUGGGCGUAAAGCGCACGCAGGCGGUUUGUUAAGUCAGAUGUGAAAUCCCCGGGCUCAACCUGGGAACUGCAUCUGAUACUGGCAAGCUUGAGU